CACGUUGAAACACCGAUUCCCGUAUGAUCACCGAAGUUAAACAUCGUUGAGCUUGGUCAGUACCUGAAUGGGUGACCGCUUGAUAAUAUCAG